GACGAACGCUGGCGGCGUGCUUAACACAUGCAAGUCGAACGGAAAGGCCCUGCUUUUGUGGGGUGCUCGAGUGGCGAACGGGUGAGUAACACGUGAGUAACCUGCCCUUGACUUUGGGAUAACUUCAGGAAACUGGGGCUAAUACCGGAUAGGAGCUCCUGCUGCAUGGUGGGGGUUGGAAAGUUUCGGCGGUUGGGGAUGGACUCGCGGCUUAUCAGCUUGUUGGUGGGGUAGUGGCUUACCAAGGCUUUGACGGGUAGCCGGCCUGAGAGGGGGACCGGCCACAUUGGGACUGAGAUACGGACCAGACUCCUACGGGAGGCAGCGGUGGGAAAUAUGGCGGAAUGGGCGGGAGCCAGAUGCAGCGACGCCGCGUGCGGAAUGACGGCCUUCGGGUUAUAAACCGCUUUCGCCUGUGACGAAGCGUGAGUGACGGUAAUGGGUAAAGAAGCACCGGCUAACUACGUG
rnacentral:rRNA from 1 species